CUUUUGCUCUGUGGAUGAUGGGUGACAAUAGACCCUCGGACCACCUGAGGCCCAUGGAAUUUCUCAACAUUCGCCUAGAAGACAACCUACAGCCCUGCCCAGGGACACGCCCAAAUGAAACACACGGUCAUCCAGGCCCUUCUGAGCCUUGCCAAGAACGCUCCUGGCCCUUUGACCCCCCUGAAUCCACCAGGCCUGAUGCUCAUCAUGGUGGCUGUGGUGUGGAGCCCGCUCCCCUGGGAAGCUACUCUUUCCAGGGGGAGGCCAAGCAGACUCCAGCAUCACCGCGGUCAGCGGGGGACAGCUGCUCUUUGGGGAGUCCGCGGCAGAACCAGAGCUCAUCCACACAGGUGGUGUUCUGGGCUGGCAUCCUGCAGGCCCAGAUGUGUGUCCUGGACCUGGAGGAGGAGCUGGAGAAAACAGAGGGACUCAAGGCAGAACUUAGGUGCUGCAUCCCCCCACCCUCUAAGGACUUCCUUGGUGAUGUGGGCCUGAGCCCCAGCCUGCCCAAGGAGGACGAAGACUCUGGAGACGACAGCAGUGAGCCUGAGGAGGAAAACCAGACCUGGCCUAGGGGACAAAUGCCAGGCUCCUCCCCAGAGUGGGGUGCUGAGGAGGACAGCAUCUUCUUUGAUAAUCCACUCUUCCUGGAGAGCCCUGGCUCAGACACCAGUACUGAAGGAGAAUGCUUUUCCUGGGGUUACCCAGAUUCCCACCCAGAUAUGAAGCCUCAUAGCCCUCAAGCCCUAGAUUCUCCACUCCCAGAAGGCACAGGGCUCUGGAGACCAGGAAAUGAGCUGGAUUUGGGGAGCAACACUGCUGAUCACAGUCGGUGUGCCACCCUUCCAUUCCCUGUGCCCUCCUAUAAGCUUCACCCCUGCUUGGACUUAGAGUCCACUGAAGGGGCUCCCACAGUACCUCCUGAUCAGGAAGGUGAGACUUUCCUGGAAGAUGCUCUUAGCCCUGGCUCACCUAAGGCACCCUCUGUGGACCAUGAGUUGAUCCAGGAAUCAGAUAACUUCGGAUUUGACCUGAGUCCUGCCACCACACAUCCUGUGCAGCCUUGGCUCUCCCAGACCCCCCAGAGCCUCUCCGACCUGACUCCACCCACAUUUGAGGACCUGCAGACAGAAGAUCCUUCCUGGCCCCAGGAGCCUCUUAUCUCCCAGAAUGGAGGUGAGAGAGAUGCUGGCUAUUUCCAGGAGCCCAUGCCCUGCACCUCGGCCCCCUGGAGGAACCAAGCCUCUUCCCUGGAGCCUAGCUGCCCAGAAUCCCAGGACAGAGGCUCUGGCCCCAGGUCCAGCCAGGUGUCUUCCCAGGAGGGCAGUCCACAAGUGGAGCCCCACAGCCCCAAGUGGCCACAAGAUGCCUCACACCCUUUGCUCCUGGAGAAGGAUGAAUCAGAGUUAAGUUCUCUGAAGAAAGAAGAGACCGGGGAAGCCCCAAACCUAAGGCAGGAGGCAGAGUGUGAAGAUCCAGCCAGGACUGAGGAGGCUUCAGCUACCUGGCACCGUGUUCGCUUGACUUCUGCAGAAGGGCUUCCUGAGAGCUCCACACCCCAAGCUCAAUCUCCAGAGGAAGGCUGGAGGCCAUCAUCUAGAGACAAGAUGGCUAAUAACAUCAGAAAUGACAAGGGGGCCUGGGACCUAGCCUUGCGCCUCUAUCACCUGAAUGGUUUCCGGAAGUCUGAAGUGGCUGCCCACCUACGCAAGAACAAUGACUUCAGCAGGGCUGUGGCUGAGGCAUACUUGUCCUUCUUCCAGUUCGAAGGCCAGAGCCUGGACCGAGCCCUCCGGGGGUUCCUCCAGGCCCUGGUGCUCAGUGGAGAGACUCAGGAGCGGGAACGAAUUCUCUACCAGUUUUCCAAACGCUUCCAUUACUGCAAUCCUGGGGCCUUCCCCUCAGUAGAUUCUAUACACACCCUGACCUGUGCGAUUAUGCUUCUUAACACAGACCUGCAUGGACAGAAUAUUGGAAAGAGCAUGAGCUGCCAGGAAUUCAUAACCAACCUGAAUGGACUACAGGAUGGCAGGAACUUCCCCAAGGAGCUGCUAAAGGCCCUCUACUGGUCGAUCCGAAGUGAGAAGCUCGAGUGGGCUGUAGAUGAAGAGGAUGCAGCCAGACCUGAGAAGGACCAGCCCUCUCCCUCAGCUGGCAAGAUAAGCAGCCCCUUCCUCCAGAUGGCUCAGGACCCCACAGUGCCCACCUAUAAGCAGGGCAUCCUGGCUCGGAAGAUGCACCACGAUGCUGAUGGCAAGAAGACGCCAUGGGGCAAGCGAGGCUGGAAGAUGUUCCACACCUUACUGAAAGGGAUGGUGCUCUACUUCCUGAAGGGAGAGGGCCACUGGCUGGAUGGCCAGAGUUUGGUGGGACAUCUCGUGGAUGAGCCCGUGGGAGUACACCACUCACUAGCAAGCCCAGCCACCCACUAUACCAAGAAGCCCCAUGUCUUCCAGCUUCGGACUGCAGACUGGCGUCUCUACCUCUUCCAGGCACCCACCGCCAAGGAAAUGGCCUCCUGGAUUGCGCGCAUCAACCUGGCGGCCGCCACACACUCAGCACCCCCCUUUCCAGCCGCAGUGGGCUCCCAGCGUAGAUUCGUGAGGCCCAUCCUGCCCAUGAACCCGGCCCAGAGCUCCCUGGAGGAGCAGCAUCGAUCCCACGAGAACUGCCUGGAUGCUGCCUCCGAUGACCUGUUGGAUUUGCAGAGGAACCUGCCCGAUCGACGCGGCCGUAGCCGCGAGCUGGAGGAGUAUCGCUUGCGGAAGGAGUAUCUGGAGCACGAGAAAACUCGAUACGAGACAUACGUGCAGCUUCUGGUGUCCCGCCUACACUUUCCUCUGGCAGACCUGGCUCUGUGGGAAGAUCAAGUUGGGAAGGAAACUGAAGGCCCUCGGGAUCUGAAGCCCAGCCUGAAGAAGUCCCACUCCAGCCCAUCCCUGCACCAGGAUGAGGCCCCCACCACGGCCAAGGUGAAACGCAACAUCUCAGAGCGCAGAACAUACCGCAAGAUCAUUCCCAAGAGAAACCGCAAUCCGUUGUGACGCCAUCAUCCUCUCAUAGACACUGACCCCAGCCCUGGGGUAGACUUGAAAUGAAACCUUACGUUCCCAUGGUAUGCCUGUUCUCCAGGGGAGGUUCUGGAGACUCAGGGACUUAGGGCUGUGCCUGUAGGGAGGAGACCGGGCUCAGGGAGCAGCCACCAUUGUCUCUGUUCAGCCAUGUGUGCAAAGAAGUUUCUGGCCAACCGGGGCCUCUGCUGCCCACCCUCUGACUGACACGUUGCCUCUCCUGCCUUCCUGCUGGGCCGUGUGUCCUCCCUUCCAAUAAUGCUUGGAACAACUCUGAAGGCUUGGAGCUCCACAAUGUGGGGCUGGUCCUUAAGGUCAUGGCAGGGGAGUCUCUGGCCGGGGCCUGGGGCUGGCCCAUGCACCCAAUGGGUGUGCAAUAAAUAGAGCCUACCAAAGAA